CUUAGCUCAGCUGGAUAGAGCGGCGGACUUCUAAUCCGUAGGUCGGGGGUUCGAAUCCCUCAGGG
rnacentral:tRNA from 1 species